AACCAUAUAGCUCAGUGGUUUAGAGCACCCAGUAUAUAUAUCCGGGAGGUCCUGGGUUCAAACCCCAGUCUGGUCA